rnacentral:misc_RNA from 1 species
UAUGAAGAACUUAGCGAAAUGCGAUAAGUAGUGUGAAUUGCAGAAUUCAGUGAAUCAUCGAAUCUUUGAACGCACAUUGCGCCCCUUGGUAUUCCAUGGGGCAUGCCUGUUCGAGCGUCAUUUGUACCUUCAAGCUCUGCUUGGUGUUGGGUGUUUGUCUCGCCUCUGCGUGUAGACUCGCCUCAAAACAAUUGGCAGCCGGCGUAUUGAUUUCGGAGCGCAGUACAUCUCGCGCUUUGCACUCAUAACGACGACGUCCAAAAGUACAUUUUUACACUCUUGACCUCGGAUCAGGUAGGGAUACCCGCUGAACUUAAGCAUAUCAAUAAGCGGAGGA